GACGAACUCUGGCGGCGUGCCUAAUACAUGCAAGUAGAACGCAGUUUCGAAAGGGUGAGUAACGCGUAGGUAACUGCCUCAUAGCGGGGGAUAACUAUUGUAAACGAUAGCUAAUACCGCAUACUGUGGAAUGGACCUUCGUUGUAUUAGGUAGUUGUGGAGGUAAAGGCUCACCAUGGCGACGAUACAUAGACGACCUGAGAGGGGUGUAGGCCACACUGGGAAUGAGGCAAGGUCCAGACUCCUACGGGAGGCAGCAGUAGGGAAGCUUGGGAAAUGGACGGAAGUCUGAACGCGUAACGCCGCGUGAGGGAAGAAGGUUUUCGGAUCGUAAAGCUCUGUUGUUAGAGAAGCGGUAACUAACCAGAAAGGGACGGCUAACUACGUGCCAGUAGCCGCGGUAAUAC
rnacentral:rRNA from 1 species